rnacentral:sRNA from 1 species
AAGGAAGAUAUAAGUA